AAUGUUGCUGCAAUAGUAGUUGAACUCAGUACGAGAGGAACCGUUCAUUCGGAUAAUUGGUAUUUGAACCUUCCUGAGCAGGCAAUGGCCUGAAGCUAUCAUCCGUUGGGUUAUGACUGAACACCUCUAAGUCAGAACCCGUACUAGAUAGCGAUAAUUACCGCCUUUUCUGAUUUUUAGAUGAAUACGAAUAGACCCACGGUCCUGAAUGUCACGAAUGUAGGAUUAUCUUGCAGAGCGGAUAGGCUUUGUGAGGUACCCACUAAUGUUAAUUUCAAAUAUUGCACGAGAUAAACCUAUUGCAGGUGACUUUAAUUGAACGGCGUAUUGUAAGCAGUACAGUGCACUUGUUGCUACAAUCUGCUGAGAUUAAGCCCAUUAUUCUAUAGUUU
rfam:Mortierella elongata AG-77 unplaced genomic scaffold K457scaffold_73, whole genome shotgun sequence.